ensembl:ncRNA lncRNA:CR43771 long non-coding RNA:CR43771
CUACAGGAAGUGAGUAUACGCCUCGUGUGCCAGAAUCAACCUUAACAUUUGGCUGCGAGAAUGUGAGCUAGAGCUAGAUCUGCGAUCCAUUGGCAGGCAGAAUUCGGCUGCGAUGCCCGCAUAAGAUCUAAGAUACGUUUCUACGAAAGCUCGUCGAAAUAUUUCCCACGGCGCAUGCGUGAAGACAACUCGAAGACAACAACGACAACAACAUCAAGCAGAGGUUAGUCAUGGCUGCAAAAAUAUGAUGGAGUCUCGAGAUCGCAGUGGAGAUGGAGAUGGAGAUGUAGAUGACGAUGGAGAUGUAGAUGACGAUGGAGGAGAGGCCAGGCACGGCGACAAGCGACUGAAAAUGUGCAAAACAAAUAGCUCAACAACAAUUCAACAUUUCGAAUUGGACUUGGGCCGAGGCUUGCCAAAAAACAAUAACGAGAACCGCAAGAGCAGACACAAUAAAGCCGAACGCCAACAGCCUCAAGCAGCGGCCUUAUUGAAACAUAGUGUGUGAUAUACGAGUACAGUGAAUGUGGGCUAAGGCAGACGCUCAAAUAGUAAUCAUAGCUAUUUUGAAAAUCAGUAAUUAUUCAUCGACUCGUGUAUGAAACAUAUCCUAGCUUUUUGUAUCGAAGCUAAGAUAAAGUUAAUGUUG